CUCGUCACUUCCGGACUCCUGUCGCCGUCACUUCCGGCCUCUUCUCCGCGCGCGGAUUCCGAACGGCCGGGGGCCGAAGCGGAGUCCCGGGAUGGCGCGGCCGUCGCGGAGGAAUAAGAAAGCAGUUGAUUAUUCUCAGUUUGGCAGUGUGGAUGAAGAUGAUGAUGUGCGUCUAAUGUGCUUCUGCUAAACAGAUGAAGAUUUUGCAAAUAUAACUGCACCUUCAAGCAAAAAAUUAAAGAGGACAUGCUCUGAGUUGACAAAGAAAAAGAUUGAGCAAAAGCCCCGCAAACAGGAGAUUCAGAUCCAAAAGAGUUCACCAAACAAAAGACUUCCCUUGGAUCACAGACUUUACCAGAGAGAUUUGGAAGUUGCCUUAGCGUUAUCAAUGGAUGAACCACCUGGAAGGACCAUAAAGUACAAGAUUCACAGAAACAAGCUGAAGAAUCUGAGGGCGAUUCCAGCUUCGGUGAAGAUGAUGAUGUUGAAUUCGUUGUGAAGAAGAAAGCUACAGGAAACAGAAAAGAAGGAAGGGAGCGAAAUGCUGAAAGCAAAAAGAAGGAAAAGAAGAAUUCCAAAUCAGAGAGGGACUCGAUAGCCAAAUCUGAACCAGCUUUGCAGAAUUUGUCAAGUUCUCUAGAACAGAUUGGACAGCCGUUGACAGCAUCUAGCCCUUCUUUGGCCAAGAAGCCUAACUGCACGUCACCAGCUACAUCUGGAAGCAGUGCCAUGCAGCUGGGAAGAACCCACGGGAAAUCGCCCACGCAAGGUCUCAGGCUUGGCCUCUCUAGGUUGGCAAGAGUGAAAUCACUGCACCCGAGUUUUGCCAGUACCUGAGUACGUGCGCUGGCUUCAGAGGGUCGCAAAUUGAAAUUAAAUACUUUAGGUGUGGUGUAGAAUUUUUUAAAAUUGCAGAUUUUGUUUCAGGCAAUAUAUAUUUAUCAUUCUGAAUGAGAUAAAGUUUAUGCAUUUAAAAAAAGAUUUCAUUCUCAAAAAGUGUAAAGUGUGAGGUAUUGACAACACUUAAACUCCAAUGUUGUUGUGACACACACACAAACACACACCCGCACACUGAAAUGUUCAGAUCAUUGGCUGGCUUAAUACUUCAUAGAAGUCAAUUGUGAUCCAGGGUAGUUUCCAGUUUUUAGAUGCUGCAUUUUGAAUCAUCAUGAAGACCAGUUCACUUGUAACUUGGAUAUUUUGCUAAAAGCAAUAUUGAAGUUUCACCUUGAUACCUUCAUCCUUUUGAUAGAAAACAUAUUUUCAGAAAUUUAUGCUGUUAUUUUCUGAUGUUUGCAUUUAUGCGUGGAUUUUAUUGGUAAAUGUAUAUUAUGUAUCUCUGUCCCUUUCAAGUGAAAUAAAAUAUCUGUAUAAAGAGCAAA